rnacentral:tRNA from 1 species
CCUGGUGGAUCAGAUGGUAAAGAAUCUGCCUGCAAUGCAGGAGAUCAAGUUUGAUCCUUGCAUUGGGA